CCCGCCGCCGCCGCCCGUCCUGCUCCCUUCCUCUCUGUCUCCUCCCCUCCCAUCGCCCAUCCGCCCUGGCCCAUCUCCUCCCCGCCUGCCGAGCAGACGCGGCCACUCAUGCCGCUGCUCUACCGGAGGAGUGUGCCACAAAAGCGGCCGAGCGCGAGGUGCCGGCAGACCGAACCGGUGGCCGCCGCCAUGGGGACCGACGAGGACAUCAUGAUGAGGUUGUCGCUGCAUCCAUAGCAGAGGGGAUCCGGCCGGCAUGCCGCGUCAAACCCUGCUCGAAGCCUGCAUCUACUACCUCGCCAGGUGACAGGAGGGGGAAGCUCAAACAGGAAAUUGCUGAAAUCACAAAGGAGCAUGGAAAGAUCGAUGAGGCUACUGAAAUCAAGCAAGAAGUUGUUUAGGAAAUGCAUUGGACUAUCCACUCUACAGCGUGGAUUGGGUGGCCAGACUCCACAUCUGUGUAUCUCUCUUGUGGCAUUAUUGUGGUGGUCUUGAAAUUGGCCCUGUCAAGCUUAUACACAUGGUUCUCGUUGAUGAGUGAUGCCCAUAGGAUAGCUCCAUCAGAGAAAACACCUCCAUACACCCCUCUGCAGCCAUGAACAAACACAAUGGAUUGUGUGCAUCUUCUAAAGAAACAGGAAAGGGAAGCGUUGUCUGUAGAUCACUUUUCCCUUGAAAAAAAUAGACAGCGACGAGCUUACCAUCGUCGUUACAAUCGAAUCGAGGGGAACCCCUUUGCUGUGUUGCUCUACAAAAAAACACCUCAAAGUUUCACACCUUUUGGAUCCUACCUUUUUGUACCUGCUCAAGACCUGUUAUUCAGCUCAUGUGCAUAUUAUGACCCGUGUCAUCUGUCAGUGUUUCUAAAUGUUGUAUCUGGAGCAUUGGCAUCUCUAGCCGAGCCGCGCAAGCAGAAAGCGGAGCAGGAGCAGCUCGGGGACGAAGCCAAGGUCUAAAAUGCCGAAUCUCCCAAUAAAGUGGUACUGUAUACCGUUCACUCUGCAUCUUCUACCUCAACCAGAAUAUAGCUACCAAACACAUCAAUCUUCUACUGAAUCAUGCACUGGACUUGCACUAACUAUGUUGAUGUUUGUUUUUCCGUGGGAAGCAAAAUUCAUUUCUGUUAAAUUAAUGCAAGGUAACCAGACCCACCUUUGCAUAUAUAUUUUAGUUGAAAGAGAAUUGAACCAUAUAUGCUGGGUGCCAAUAAAGUUAUCUAUUGGUUCCUUCUGUUGCUUUAUUCGGCUUCUAUUGGUUGUGUUUCUCACGAAAACUAACUUAUGUUGAGUUUCUAUUGGUUGUGUCACUUUCCAGGUUGAGUUGAGCAUAUGUAUACCUAUCUCAGUCGGCGAAAAUAAUUAUGUGUGGUUUCAUGGACCCUUACCUUAUUGAUGGGCACCACACAGAGCUUGAGGAGAUGUAGGCCAGCGUGCCACCUCUUACGCUUUUCAUGUAACCGCUGAGCCGCCUUCUUUGCUUCAGAGGCUUCUUGUGUCACCAUAGGUUUGUGAUUCUUAUAUGUUGCCCAUAUUGUAGGCCAUGUAGAAUACUAAGAUAAAAUAAUUUUAAUUUUAUCUUUUAUAUUCUUUUAUGUUAAAGAGGCUACAAUGUAUCCAGAUCAUUGUAUAUUUUCCAGAGUGAUUCUCCUUCAUAUAGACUAAAUUAUUUUCUCCCUGUCCAUGAGAUGCACUAUUUGAAUAGUUUGCCUAACACGAUAUGUCCUUAUCCAUAUCCAUAUCCGUGUGUCACAACAUGCAAGCAAAUAAAAUGAAGGAGUGUGGACAAAGUUAUAUAUCAAGCAAAUCGAAUGAAGGUGUGUGGACAAAGUUAUAUAUCCAAUAGUCAACCAUGUAGUUUACUAUUGUGCAGUAUGAAAAACAGUGUAAAUAAGUUAUCUGAGACUAAUACUAUGGCCUGCUUUUGGUUUCUAUCAUACCAAAUGAUUGCUUUGGUAUUUCAUGUCACAUUGUAUAACAAAUGCGCCGAUGGCAUGUAGAUAGGGCCAUUUUUUAGAUAUUUUACGGGGUGAUUACUGUUGUGAGUAUCUACCAUCACCUACUCUAUGAGUAAUAUCAUAUAUAUUUCCAUCCUGGGGUAUAUUGAGUACUAUCAGAUGUUAAUCGAAAAAGAGCUAUAUCAGGGAUUUGAUCAUUGAGCUUUUUUGAUUAAUUCCUUGAUACAUUUCCAUCCUGAUAUAGUCUCUGCAUUUCCAUCCUUAAUAGACACACGCAUGUGGGAGUUGGGUUUCGGCAAGUAGCACCUCUUCGAUUAAGUUGUCCCGUUACAUGUGCUAAACUUGCUAUACUACUAAUGCAUCAUGCGGCUUGAUCUUCACUGCUUGGUCAUAUCGGUUGGACCGGCAUCCUCGCGCCUAGGCGCGUUGCCGAUCUAGUUAUGCUUAUAUAAGGUAGGAGUUAUGUCCUAAUAGGACACUUGUAUCCAUGGGUUCCUAUAUAUUGUGAGGGUAGACGCUAGAUGUAACCGAUGGAACAUAAUAGCACAGGUACGCAAGCGGAACCGGCGGCGUGUGCCAGCGCCUGGGUGGCCGGUGUGUGAUAUUGUGACGGUGUCAUGAGGAGCAGCGCCCGUAGUCAUGCCCUAGGGAUGUACCCAUGUUGUUGAACCUCGUUAACAAAUUUCGUUGUCGUGCCUUAUGUGAUUGGCUGGUUGCUUGAUCCUCGGUGGAUCAACGGUGACCUCGGAUUAUUCUAACAUGAAUCAUAAGAAGUAUUGCUUUAUUGCGAAGAACAAAAGGUGCUACGAUAUGCAAUGUUGCUUCUUACAAUGGGAUGCCCCUGCAAAAUAAAACACAUAUGGCCCCUGUGUAUGAUUGUGGGUUUGGACCCACCCAUCAUAGACAGCGCGUAUGUCAAAACUGUGCAAGUAAAUUUUUUGUGGGGACAAAUACAAGUAUGCCACCGAGUUCAAUAUUCAUCGCAACAAUUUCAGAGGAAAAAGGAAGCAAACCUGUAUCAUUAUUAGACAUCUCAAAGUAAGAAUGUGUGUUUGGAAGAUAACUAUUAACACUUCACAUGUGAAAGUAGACACAUGUAUGUAUAUGUAUCUAUGUACUCAUACAUAUAUAUAGCCUCACAAAUCCAUGUCGCCAACUUCGCCCUAGGCUCCUCCAAAACAUAGAACAUAGUGCAAAGAAUCGAUAAACAAUGUCAAAACAUAUAUAUGACAUGUGGACUCACACCCCACGCAUCAUAUACAUGGCGUAUGUCAAAACCAUGCAUUAACCACAUAGUUAAAGAAAGGCAAAUCCUUAUAAUUUUGCAUGUAACCACAUAGUUAUUUUCCUCAACUAUGAAAAUCAAUGGCGCCUUCUUACUGCUACAUCUGUGCAAUGUCCUUGUUAUACUGAUCUAUCCAUCCAUGUAUGAUCUCAAUUUCCUGUCUCCUUUGUUCUACAACCCAGUCUGGGUCAUCCUUGGUUGCAGAUCUGAAGUCCAAAUGAUGGGCCCCUGAAAAUCACCAUCACAAAACGUAGCCCGCAUAAGAUUUUACCUGCCAGCCCCAGCCGCUGAGGCCAUGGGGGUCAUCCCCACCUUCCACCUGGAAGCACUUCUGGUCGCCUGUGUAAUUGUAGUACAAGCUCGCCGCUGCGAAAGCUUUUUCGACGACGUCUGCUCCCGCGGGGAAAGAAUCAAUGAUCUUGCACAUCUGUAGAAAUGUCAGGAGAAUUACAUGCUCAGCAGAAGAGAAUAAAAAGCAGGUCCUGUUUUUGCAUGACUCAGUUUGGUAACUCUGGAACUCUUGUUUCUCUGCUCGUUCACUUGAUAUAAUUCAGGCAAAAGUAAGGGUUGUUAAUUAGGUUACAAGUGGCUAACCUCUUUGACAGGGUAAGCAGGCAGAUUUUGCAGGAAAUUGGCUGGAGUUGGAUAGUCCGUCAUGGCCGUGUAGGUGAAUGCCGUAUAUAGAAAGUUGGUCAGCGAAUCAGCGGACUGCACGGUCCUAAAAGUUGAGGGAUAACACAAUAUCAUAAACCCGAGUCAUCGCCAUUAGUUCAGAUAUGGCGCUCUUCAUUAGUUCACCCCACUCGGGCAAUCUUAUCAAGAUGAGGUUUUCAUGUUCAGACAUGUAUGCAACUGAGCUGAGUGUCUAUGUCAGUAGCAAAUCUAUCCUUUGGACUUAAUGUACAUCUUAUCAAGAAUCUCUUAUCCUGCAAGUCAUCUUUUUUCAUGUA